UGAGGAAUAUUGGGCAAUGCCCGCAAGGGUGACCCAGCAACGCCGCGUGGAGGAUGAAUGUCGUAAGAUUGUAAACUCCUGUUAGAGGGGAAGAAUAGUACCGGUUGGACCGGUAUAUGACUGUACCCUCAGAGAAAGCCCCGGCUAACUACGUGCCAGCAGCCGCGGUAAUCCGUAGGGGGCAAGCGUUGUCCGGAUUUACUGGGUGUAAAGGGCGCGCAGGCGGGAUAAAAAGUCAGUGGUGAAAUCCUACAGCUUAACUGUAGAACUGCCUUUGAUACUUGUAUUCUUGAGUUCGGGAGAGNGAGACGGAAUUCCAGGUGUAGUGGUGAAAUACGUAGAUAUCUGGAAGAACACCAGUUGCGAAGGCGGUCUCUUGGUCCGACACUGACGCUGAGGCGCGAAAGCGUGGGGAGCAAACA
rnacentral:rRNA from 1 species